rnacentral:rRNA from 1 species
GAUGAACGCUGGCGGCGUGCUUAACACAUGCAAGUCGAACGGAAAGGCCCAAGCUUGCUUGGGUACUCGAGUGGCGAACGGGUGAAUAACACGUGGGUGAUCUGCCCUGCACUUCGGGAUAAGCCUGGGAAACUGGGUCUAAUACCGGAUAGGACCACAUUUUGGAUGGUGUGGUGGAAAGUUUUUCGGUGUGGGAUGAGCUCGCGGCCUAUCAGCUUGUUGGUGGGGUAAUGGCCUACCAAGGCGUCGACGGGUAGCCGGCCUGAGAGGGUGUACGGCCACAUUGGGACUGAGAUACGGCCCAGACUCCUACGGGAGGCAGCAGUGGGGAAUAUUGCACAAUGGGCGCAAGCCUGAUGCAGCGACGCCGCGUGGGGGAUGACGGCCUUCGGGUUGUAAACUCCUUUCGCUAGGGACGAAGCGUUUUUGUGACGGUACCUGGAGAAGAAGCACCGGCUAACUACGUG